GAUGAACGCUGGCGGCGUGCUUAACACAUGCAAGUCGAACGAAGCACUUAAUGAGAUUUCUUCGGAUUGAUUAUUUUGUGACUGAGUGGCGGACGGGUGAGUAACGCGUGGGUAACCUGCCCCAGACCGGGGGAUAACAGUCGGAAACGACUGCUAAUACCGCAUAAGCGCACAGUGCCGCAUGGCACGGUGUGAAAAACUCCGGUGGUCUGGGAUGGACCCGCGUCCGAUUAGUUAGUUGGCGGGGUAACGGCCCACCAAGACCGCGAUCGGUAGCCGACCUGAGAGGGUGACCGGCCACAUUGGGACUGAGACACGGCCCAGACUCCUACGGGAGGCAGCAGUGGGGAAUAUUGCACAAUGGGGGAAACCCUGAUGCAGCGACGCCGCGUGAGUGAUGAAGUAUUUCGGAUGUAAAACUCUAUCAGCAGGGGAAGAUAAUGACGGUACCUGACUAAGAAGCAACCGGCUAAAAUACGUG
rnacentral:rRNA from 1 species